rnacentral:tRNA from 1 species
CGACCUGGCGCAAUUGGUAGCGCACCACUCUUGUAAAGUGGGGGUUACGGGUUCAACUCACACUCACUUCGU